rnacentral:rRNA from 1 species
GUCGAACGGAGCACCCUUGACUGAGGUUUCGGCCAAAUGAUAGGAAUGCUGAGUGGCGGACUGGUGAGUAACGCGUGAGGAACCUGCCUUCCAGAGGGGGACAACAGUUGGAAACGACUGCUAAUACCGCAUGACGCAUGACCGGGGCAUCCCGGGCAUGUCAAAGAUUUUAUCGCUGGAAGAUGGCCUCGCGUCUGAUUAGCUAGAUGGUGGGGUAACGGCCCACCAUGGCGACGAUCAGUAGCCGGACUGAGAGGUUGACCGGCCACAUUGGGACUGAGAUACGGCCCAGACUCCUACGGGAGGCAGCAGUGGGGAAUAUUGGGCAAUGGACGCAAGUCUGACCCAGCAACGCCGCGUGAAGGAAGAAGGCUUUCGGGUUGUAAACUUCUUUUGUCAGGGAAGAGUAGAAGACGGUACCUGACGAAUAAGCCACGGCUAACUACGUGCCAGCAGCCGCGGUAAUACGUAGGUGGCAAGCGUUGUCCGGAUUUACUGGGUGUAAAGGGCGUGCAGCCGGGCCGGCAAGUCAGAUGUGAAAUCUGGAGGCUUAACCUCCAAACUGCAUUUGAAACUGUAGGUCUUGAGUACCGGAGAGGUUAUCGGAAUUCCUUGUGUAGCGGUGAAAUGCGUAGAUAUAAGGAAGAACACCAGUGGCGAAGGCGGAUAACUGGACGGCAA